GAGAGAAAGAGGGAAAAAGGAGGGGGGAUAGAGCUGCUCAGCGAUACACAGAGACGCAUGUGGAGUAAGCGAAACAGAGAGAAAGAGAGAGAGACAGUGGAAUUGUGAAAAGGUGCAAACCUGUAAACCCGAGAGUGAUGGAUCCUCCUUCAGACUUGAGGACGAUCAUGAAAAUGUGGACAAGCAACAAAAAGGGAUUCCACUACAGGUUAACCACCAGGUUUUAAAUCAUCAUUCGUCCCUGUGAGAGGAGAAGCUGGGUAUCUGACAGCCAACCAGGUGACACAAAGAGAAGUCAAGAGGAGGACCGAAGAAGAGAGGGAGUGUAAGAGAGAAUGAUGGAUGGACGAGCAUAUGGAGUAAGUUUGACAGCCUCAGAGAGAGAGCGAGCGAUAUAAGACCUAUCUGGGAUUCUGUGGCUGUUACUCACGACUUUAUUUGUCUUCAGUGGAAAUCCAUAGGUGUGACAGAGGACCGCUAGACACGCAACUUGACCCACCUGUCCCCCUCCCCUCCAUCCCACCCCCACAUACGUUUCUCUGCAACCUCCUCCCUCUCCUAUCUCCUCUGCUGUCAGUUCAGCAGCUUCUUUGGGGAUCUCUUUUUUUUUAUCUCACAAUCCUCUCAUCCAGUCCCAUUGGCUUGAUUUCUGUUAUGGCUACAUUCCCAGCCCUUUUUGCCGCUAUGGAAGACGCCUCCUACUUGAACACAGCUCCAACCAGCAGCAGAUCUUAUUUGGAGAAAUAGAAAGAUAAAAUUGAAUAAUACGUCAUUUUGGGGUCGGGAAGACUGUCUACAGGUCCACAACAAGUGCAAAGGAUCAGAUUAUGUUAUGUUAAGACUUUGAUGCAGAACUGACACUGAGCAGACAGACCUCUGGGACAGAAGAUGAGACUUCGACUAUAUGAAGCGGAGGAAAAGCAUUGUCCACAGCCUCAUGACAAGGACAUUGGGAAUCAAGCUCAAACAGCAAGAGUUCUUAUUAAAUAUUGAUAACGACAGGCAUGUUGGAAAAGCAUACAUCAAUGUUCCAUUACCUGCAAAGUGGAAACAAAACAAACGAAAGAGGCUCUUGACACCUGAGGAAAAGAUCAGGUGGGAUUCUUCCUUCUGGAGGACUGAAAACAGUUGAACCAUAUACAAAGUCAAGUUAAGGAUUUAUUCUACUUGAGAAGCCAAAGCCAUACUUAAAAGUGUCAGAGUUUCAAAGGGACUGCUUCAGGGAAACAGAGACUAACUGCAAAGAAUCUGUGCUGCAGCAGGACAUUUGAACUAUUUUCCAACAACGAGAGACCUGGACCAGGAAGAAAGAAGUGUGCCGGGGGAAAGGGAGGGGGUGGAGAAGGAGCUUGGCAAGACGGUGGAGACAUGGAGAGGAUACUGGAAUAGCAAAAAAGAAGGAGCAUAUUGGUUACCCCCCUGGUGCAAUGUGUGGCACCUGUGGGGGUGGGGCUCACUGAUGGUAAACAUGGUCCCCCACGGCCGGUAUGUCUGCCACGCCCACGCCGCAGACCCUGUGGACGACCAAGAGGAGCGCAUCCUGGCCGUGCUGGGGAUCAUCGGGACCGUGCUCAACCUGCUGGUGGUCAUCUUCGUCUACAUAUACACCACCAUCUGACCACCACCACCACUGCAACCGUACAACCAGUACUGGACCACGGUCCAGGCUGACACACACGUCACCAAGGGAGAGGGGAACGCAUGCAGCGACAGGAAGAAAAUGGAGGUGGACCAAGAAGGAGUAGGACCAAGCCUGUCAAGACCACCAGUGUCAUUGAGCUUUGCCCCAAAAAUCUAAGCAGUGCCUGAUCAUAUCGCCGUCCUUUCCAUCUUUAGGCUCAGAAGGGUGAGGAAGAGCAGACGUAUUCAUGUGCGGACAUUUUGAUAUCAAAAACAUAGGAAACCUCCACCAUUUCUUUGAUGACAAUUCUGUUGUUUUGUACAGACCCUCUCACGUGUAUUAUUUGUAGAGUUCACCCUGUUUGAUUAUUAAUUGGCCACACAUUUUCCUAACUAUACUCUAUUGUUGACCAUUUUGUUCUGAAUUCACACUUUAUGGUUCGCUGGUGUUAACAUUUGUCAACAAGCACAAAGACCCUCCUCAUUGUGGAGGAUUUUAUCCUGGUCAAAAUGGCAUUGUCACCUGGACCACAUUCCAACGCUGAAGGAUAUGACAUUCACCCCGACACAGUGAAAAAGAGAGGCUGUUUAUUGAGUCCAUUAUAUCACUGCACUGUACUUGGCGCAGGCCUGAAUAUUCACUUCAUCCUCAACAUCCUCUUUUCUACUAACAAGCUCAAACCUGAGAAGACAUGAUAUCAUGAUAAUAUCUGUCGAACUCUUGCUUCAGACACCUGUUUGAUACACACCUUUCAUCUUGUGGUUAUAAAUGUUAGCUACAAUAACAAAAGAGACGGAUAAGAGUCAAAGCUAAUUUAUAUCAUUGCUAUACAUUUAGGAUCAUUAUAUUUCCCCACGUUCAUGUACGACGCUGUAAUUAAUAACAUUUUAUCUUUGGAAUGUAAUGUGCUUUCACAGAAACUACCCCCCACUCCCAUUGCAGCCAACAUGUCAAUUUCAAUUGAAAAGUUGAGUAUGGUUUGUCACUGCACCAAUUAAAGCUAAAUAUUGGGUUUCCAUUUACAAUUGAUGUCAGAGUAUUGAACCGGUAGGGCGUUAGAUGUAGCUUUGAGAUCCUGCUGUGCUGUGUAGCUUAGCAUUACAUGGUCACCUCUGUGAGUUUCACUCAUACACUAGUAUAACACAUUUGUUUUGCCCCAAUUGCCAACCUUGCUGCACAAAUACAUCUCAAAUCAAUGCAGUGCUUCCGGAAGAGUUCAGUACUUGAACAGAACACAGACCCACACUCCUCACCUUGAAAAACACUUGCCUUACUGAUGUCAUUGAAGAGACACUUUGGUAGCUGAAAUGGAAAUGCUUCCUGAUGCUUUUUUUAACACAAUCACUUAUAUUGGUAUAAUGACAUGAUUCCAGUUCACUAUACCGUCCCAUUGAGCUUCUACAGUGAAGUGAAUCGGAGUGAAUAGUAAUGGGGAUGGACAGAAUGGACUCUCUAUUGCCAGAUAAACUUACUUAAACCACCCAAUACCGUGGCAUGUUUGGGCUGAUUGCUACCCCCAACUGCUUACUUUUUUGUUGAAGCCCCGUACAAAAACACCUGAUUCAACUUGCCAGGGGCUUGAUGAUUAGUUGAGAAGUAAAAUCAGGUGUACUUGUCCGGGGCCACAACAAAAAUAUGUACUGUCGGGGGGUACUCGAAGACCGGACACUGGUCUAGGCUGUAGUGCAUGGCGAUAUAUACUAAAUUCUAUAGUACAACAUGCAGCUGUACUGUGUCCUAUAUCAUAACAACACAAAGAUACUGACUGUAAGUAAGCAUGCUUCAAAUUCCCAAAACACUGUUUACACACAGCUAACCACUGAAUAACAAAGCUUGUUAAAACAAGUCUUUAUAGUGCAACCCAUCACUAGAAAAGUCAUGGAGUCGACCAUCCUUUCUUUGUGUGCGUGUAUGGGUGUGUACGAUACAGUCCGGUAUAUAGUUAGCUAGCUGCAGUGCAGGGCUUUCUGACAUUAUAGAGCUUUUGCUUUGGACCAGACGAGAAGUAACCAGGGACCAAUGGGAGGGAAGAGCCCGGAGCAGACUCAAGACCAUCUGCUGUCCCUGUGGACAGUGGCACCUCCUCAACCCAGAACAGAGCCAGAGCCAGAAUGGCUUCCUUCUCCAUCUCAUUAUUCCACUACUUAAACUGAACUGACAGAAGUACUUCAAUUCAGGGACUCGUGGGUAAAAUGGAACCUCAGAAUGUGAGUUUUUACUGCGUGUCCUCACUGCCCUGGAGCGUGUCCUCACUGCCCUGUGUGUGCUCAGAAUUUCUCAGCACCAUUCAUUUCACCAGUUUGCAUACAGUAUUAGGGUAGAAAAAUCACUCAGUUUGUGCAUCCUUUUAUUAAAAUCAAAAUGUGCUUUUGUUUUAUUUCACAUUGGUGUGAUGCAGCCCCUGUUAUGUUUCAUUGUAUUUUAUCUUCUGUCUAUGCAUUGGGUUUUAUUUUAUUUUCCAGACUUUAACUCUGACAAUCCAACUUUAUUCAUGAUGUAUGAGUGACCUGUAUUUUGGAACUAAAGGGAAUAUUUGGUGGAUGAUUCAGAUGUGUCUGAACAAGAUGAAAAUGUUUCACCCCUCUUUCUUAUUUUAAAGUCAUGAAAUAUUGAAAUACUGAAAUAUUUGAUAGUUCUAUCUAAUCGAAACUCAUCUUUUGCCAGAGUUAUAAAUGAUGUUAAAGUUUAAAAGAGGAGAAUGAGGCAUUAUAACGGAGAUAUAUUUCUGCAUUUCUAUGCAGUUGUCUAACUCUUUAUAUUUGUGUUUGGAAAUGAUAGCAAAAUUGUGCUAUAUUACAAUGUUGCUACCAAAUGUGUAUAUAUCCUGAGAAUAAAACGAAUGCCAUGAAAUCAGCUUUUCAUGUAUUGUUAUAUUAUAGAGUAUUCAAAUACAAAUGGAAAAUGGUACCACUUUCCAAAGUUGUAUUAUAUCCAAAGCAAAGGCCGUGUUUCCAGCAUAAUCAACAAGACAAGUAUACCAUACACAUGCAUUACAAACACUAUAAAGUGUCCAGUUGGUGGCGGCAAUACACCUUUUUGUGUGUAGUUCACCAUAAAACCUCACAGAAGAAGAAGUGAAAUAGGAAGUGGGUUGGUCAGUAGGUGGAAGCCAUUCUAAAUGCAUGCAAAGAUGAUCUAUUAUAUUGACAAGAUGCUGACACAGCCCAGCAGGCAGGUGUCCAUGUUCCCCAUUAUACAUUUCAACACCAACUCCAUUUGCUCUCACCGAAGAUGUUCUAUUAUGUAAUGUCUCCACAUUAAAUGUGAUAGGAAAUUAAGCAGAAUGAAAGGUUAUGCGUGUAUUCCCAUUGGAUUAAAAUGUUAUUUUUUUGUGGACUUACCUUUUUUUGGGAACGAACUCUAAGAUCUGAAUUGAAUUAUUUUUGAGAAGCUUGGAUUUAAAGGACAUUUUUGUUUGAACUGAAUCACUUUGACUUUGUUGCAUGUUUGCGUGACUGACACCUUGGCCUGCUGUAACUAUAUAUGUGAGUGAGUGAGUGAGACAUUAGUAAAAUUCCUGAACUAAGUAUUUUCAUCAUUCUAGAUUGCAGCCGGUAGCAACAAGAACAAGCGCUGCGAUGUGUGGACCCAACACACACAGUAAAACUCUGUCCCUCAUGCGGUGUGUAAUUUGUGUUCAAUUGGGCUCAUUUAUCAUUUCCAUAAAAUACUGUAUGUAAAAUUUGUCAAUUUUUUAAGUUCAAAGCAAUAAACAUCAAUAGUGAUGAGAA